GCGAGCGGCGGAUGGAUGAGUAACACGUGGGGAACCUGCCCCUAAGUCUGGGAUACCAUUUGGAAACAGGUGCUAAUACCGGAUAAUAAAGCAGAUCGCAUGAUCAGCUUUUGAAAGGCGGCGUAAGCUGUCGCUAAGGGAUGGCCCCGCGGUGCAUUAGCUAGUUGGUAAGGUAACGGCUUACCAAGGCGACGAUGCAUAGCCGAGUUGAGAGACUGAUCGGCCACAUUGGGACUGAGACACGGCCCAAACUCCUACGGGAGGCAGCAGUAGGGAAUCUUCCACAAUGGACGCAAGUCUGAUGGAGCAACGCCGCGUGAGUGAAGAAGGUUUUCGGAUCGUAAAGCUCUGUUGUUGGUGAAGAAGGAUAGAGGUAGUAACUGGCCUUUAUUUGACGGUAAUCAACCAGAAAGUCACGGCUAACUACGUGCCAGCAGCCGCGGUAAUACGUAGGUGGCAAGCGUUGUCCGGAUUUAUUGGGCGUAAAGCGAGCGCAGGCGGAAAAAUAAGUCUAAUGUGAAAGCCCUCGGCUUAACCGAGGAACUGCAUCGGAAACUGUUUUUCUUGAGUGCAGAAGAGGAGAGUGGAACUCCAUGUGUAGCGGUGGAAUGCGUAGAUAUAUGGAAGAACACCAGUGGCGAAGGCGGCUCUCUGGUCUGCAACUGACGCUGAGGCUCGAAGCAUGGGUAGCGAACAGGAUUAGAUACC
rnacentral:rRNA from 1 species